CACAGCAGACAGUGGAGGAUGUUGGAAAGCAUACAAAUAAAUACCCCAAAUCAGAGUGUGUUAUUGUACAAAAAUGUGUUAAAUCAACUUUCACAAAAAAUAAUUUACAAUUAAAACAGUAAAGAAUUGCAACUUUUUGCCGUGGAUAAAAAAAUGAAAUGGCCAUGUGAUCAGUUUUUAAGGCAACACAUGUAACUCCAAAAGCAAACUGCAAUGUUUUUCCUUCCAUUUAAAACCAGAUAUGAAUUCGACUGAAUUAAAAAAAAACUGGAUUAAUUUCUGAUAUGAAUAUUUAUUGAUGUGAUUUCUCCCUACAAGACUGGGCCUACCGUCAAAAGCCGCAUUGCGUGACGUCCCCGGGUCCGACUUGGGUAAGAACGAUGCAGCCUCCCCGCAUUCCAUCACGUCAAAGCGCGACGCGGCGGCCGCUCCUCUCCGGCGCAACAACCCGACGCGCCAGCGAGACAGACGAGGCGAGGGAACUGUGCGUAAAGAGCGCAAACCAACAAAUUGCUAAUGCGAAGCUGCUGCCAGCGACACGCGGAGCUUCAACACCUUUGGCCUCUGAUGGAAACCGAAUUCUCCUUUUUACCUUCAGCGAAUGAGCAAGUCUGGUUCUGGAUUCAUUCCAGUUGCUGUUCCAGCAGCCAGGUGUCAGCCUCAGCCUCACCCAUAGCUUCCACCACAGGCCUCCCACAGAUCCUGCCAACAUUUAACAGCUAGUCGGAGUUAUCCGGGGGCCCCAGGAUGUUGAGCUCUGAGAGGCUGGAGCCGGAGCAGGUGAAGAGAGUCCUGAGGGAAGGC
ensembl:lncRNA